GUCAAGACUGCUAAACUUCUCAUGUGUUUUCCUUGGGAAACAGAUAAAAAAGUAUGUGUAUGGACAAAUCCACCAAAGAAUGAGAUACUAAAAGUUUGUAAAAAGGUGGAAAUGCCUUUUAAGUGGUAUGAGAUGCUACACUCAUUAACAGAGCUACAUAUCCAGAUUCCUCAAGGAUUAUACAGUGAUGAAUGUUUAACAUACAAUAGUGAAGCACAUCUAGUCUACUUUCUUGGCUCAACAAAAAAAUACAGACAAAAAACAAAAAUUCUACAAUGCAUGUGCUAGUGCUGAAAGUGGCUAUCAACAAGUGAUACACAAAUCUGACCUUGAGAAAAUUGGAAACUCAGGCCUUAAAAUGCAAGUUAUAUCUGAUAUAAAAGGAGUCAUCAAUGAAGGCAGUGAGAGAAUUCAAAAUUAUGAUGAAAUAAGAAAAUCUGCAAUCAUUUCACCUAAAGAAGGUAUACAAUGGGAAACAGAAGAAGCAAUUUUGAUACUAUUGGAUCAGCGUGGUUCUGGUUCUAUGGGAAAUGUAGUUUUCAAAGAAAUUGGGAAUAUGAAGAGGAUUGAUGCUGCUAAACAAUUGUUCAACAGUUUUGCAACACGUACACAAGCAUAUAAGCUGCACCAUGCACUAGGACUAACUAUAUUUGGGUCAGAAGUCACUGUUAAACUAAAAAUCACAAAGAAAUUCAACACUGAAGAAUUUGAGACUACUCUGAAUGACAUUAAGAUAAGAGGUUCAACAGAAU